rnacentral:misc_RNA from 1 species
AUACUUGUUGAUAACUAAGGCACAUAUCAAGGCAUUAGUAAAAGCAUAUACAAUAGAACAAACAAUACACAGGUACCAAAUCCUUACAUUUUGCCCAUACAUGCACACCUAUAUGCCUAUAUUAACAUUGCUUUUCUGCUUAAAAGAGAAGACAACAGUCUUUCGUCUUGUAAGUUAACAAACAAGAGAUCUUUAGAAAAAUAUAAAUAGAACUAAAAAUAUAAGUAGAACUUUAUUAACUCUGCAAGGCUUUAGAAAGGAAACAUGGUAGCUAGCCAUCUGACUUCUUUAGUAAGUUGUUCUCCUGAAACUUAAGAAAGAUAAUUAAAAGAUUAGUCAAUAUGGGCAACAAAAGGAGGAGAAAUACAAAUUGAGCAAAUAUAUAAAUAUAUUAAUAAGAUUCAUAAACUAAUAUAAAAUUAUUUCAAUAUAAUGAUUUGAUAGAUAACUCGAAUAAAAUAACUUGAACUCCAAAAAAUAUGAAGCCACCAAACUUUUUUGAUACUUCCAAAUACACUAGCUAAAUAAGGAAAGAGUUAUCAACAAAAAUAUAAAUUAAUUUAUUAGUUACUUUAAAAGACAAAUACUUUAGAAAAUUUCACUUUACUUGCCUUUCUUUAUUCAUAGAUCCGAACUCCAAGAAAAAUACUUCUAAUCAAAUGCAGUUCUU